rnacentral:rRNA from 1 species
CAGCACCUCAAGUGGUCAGGAUGAUUAUUGGGCCUAAAGCAUCCGUAGCCGGCGCUGUAAGUUUUCGGUUAAAUCUGUACGCUCAACGUACAGGCUGCCGGGAAUACUGCAGCGCUAGGGAGUGGGAGAGGUAGACGGUACUCGGUAGGAAGGGGUAAAAUCCUUUGAUCUAUUGAUGACCACCUGUGGCGAAGGCGGUCUACCAGAACACGUCCGACGGUGAGGGAUGAAAGCUGGGGGAGCAAAACGGAUUAGAUACCCGUGUAGUCC